rnacentral:rRNA from 1 species
CCUACGAGAGGCAGCAGUGAGGAAUAUUGGUCAAUGGACGAGAGUCUGAACCAGCCAAGUAGCGUGAAGGAUGACUGCCCUAUGGGUUGUAAAAUUCUUUUAUAAAGGAAUAAAACGAGGCACGUGUGCCUUUGUGCAUGUACUUUAUGAAUAAGGAUCGGCUAACGCCGUGCCAGCAGCCGCGGUAAUACGGAGGAUCCGAGCGUUAGCCGGAUUUAGUGGGUUUAAAGGGAGCGGUGAUGGGUUGUUAAGUCAGUUGUUAAAGUUUGCGGCUCAACCGUAAAAUUGCAAUUGAUAAUGGCAGUCUUGAGUACAGUUGAGGUAGGCGGAAUUCGUGGUGUAGCGGUGAAAUGCUUAGAUAUCACGAAGAACCCCGAUUGCGAAGGCAGCUUACUAAACUGUGACUGACAUUGAUGCUCGAAAGUGUGGGUAUCAAACAGGAUUAGAUACCCCAGUAGUC